rnacentral:lncRNA from 1 species
AAACCAUUGGAUUCGUGCCAAGUGGUAAAAUUCGGUGAAGAGAGAGGAGAAAAAGAUUCUUGGUUAGGGAAAUGAGGUCUGUUGCACAAACAAUGCGCGCACAGUGUGCGACACCAGUCCGUCCGCGAAAUGACACGUGGACGGCCCGCCAGUGUGCGACAGGGCGCGCGCGCAAGUCCUAACCUGUGUCGUGUGCGCGGAUGAGACUCGCGUGCUGUGCGCACGUCUUGUUCAUGUUGGUGUGCGGAUGGGUCGUGCGCACUGUGCGCACGCCCCGCGGCCACUGUGCGCGCAUGCACACAUGCACAGUGCCUAGCACCCACGCGAGCAAACUGCUUCCUCGUGGGAUUUUUUUUCC